UUCCUGUGCAAGUUGAUUAGUAGACUUCCUCAUGCCCAACCUGAAAAAAGUGAAAGAAAGGAGGCCCACAUCAGGUGGACAAGCAGAGCCUGCUGUCUCUCACACUGGCAAUGUGUAAAGUUGAAAGAAUCAAAAAAUGACCUUCCUUAUUACAGGGAUGGGCAGUGCACAUGGUUGAACAAGACUUUUAGAAUGGAAAAGAGUCUUCUGUGCAUUCUCAGCAAUGGGAGUAGACAUUCACAGCAUAGGGGGAAGAGAGAACUGGAGGUCACUGAGAAGAGCAAACGCAUUCGGCGAAACCACGGAGAGUAGCAACUGCAGGAGCAGAAGGCUCGCAGAGCAGCAUCAUUUAUUACAUGUGGUGUGGAACCUGCUAGUCAAGUGGGCAGCGGCUCCAAGGUCUGUCAGAGGGAAUUGCUGUGAUAACAAGCCUUUUAAGCAGAAAGACAGCCACGUAGUUGGAGACAGAAAAUUACCUAUGCACGAAGCCCUCUGAAUCUGACAAAUCGUAGGGGUGGGGGAUUGUAAUGAUUUACUUAAUCUGAGUCAUAAA